ensembl:ncRNA lncRNA:CR45500 long non-coding RNA:CR45500
ACGGAACAAAGUAGAGCGGGACUACAGGAGAACUGAGAGCGUCGGCGUGCCGAUUUAAGGAAAGCAACGGUACCAAGCUGGACUUUGGACCUGGAUAACGGUAAAACCGUGCAGUUUGGUUCUGGAGACUGGAAAUAUCGAGGAAUAGCGGGUUAGGGAGGCAUACAUAAGCCGGCCGAGCGCUGAAAAGUCAAUGUUCGACGCAACAAGGGAGCUGUAGCACUAAGAGUUAAUAAGGAACAAGAUCGCUAGGUCGAGACGUUCGGGGCACGAAAAGUCUCCGAAUAGGGCUAAGUUGCGUCGCCUUGCUACACUACGAAUUGAGACCAGACCCUGGCUUUAGCCCGGCGAGUCCGCUAUCGUGUGAGCAGGAGUGCAAAAUCCUAGCAAGGACCCACGUGUGUGGUGGGAUUGUGGUGAAGGCCGUGUCGACUGUUUUAAUGUUCUCGUAACGUAGACCAAGCGAUCGCCUGAGCAGGCGUGGUGCCGGCACGACCAGUCAGAGCAGACGUCUGGUUAACGCGUUGUCAUCUCGCCCGGCGAUAGCCUGGAAGAGGCAACCAUUGACUACCGUGAGUCCGCGGACGACAAUAAUUCCCAGCCCAACGAGUAUAGCACCCAGCAGCGCAGCCCACAUCGAUCAGGACAACACGAGCCGCAGGACAGCAGAUACAACGCUGUCGAGCAGGCCCGUCCAUUUGACUCGGUACAGGGACUGUGGCGUGAGCCGGACGAUUGCACGGAGCAUCUGCAGGAGCGGAACAGGCGUCUGGCGGGACCGGCCGCGACAGAAGGUUGCGACGAGCAAGGGCAGCCCAGCACCUGUU